rnacentral:rRNA from 1 species
UACCAGCACCCCGAGUGAUCGGGACGAUUAUUGGGCCUAAAGCAUCCGUAGCCGGUCAUGCAAGUCUUCCGUUAAAUCCAGCUGCUUAACAGAUGGGCUGCGGAGGAUACUAUAAGACUAGGAGGCAGGAGAGGCAAGCGGUACUCAGUGGGUAGGGGUAAAAUCCGUUGAUCCAUUGAAGACCACCAGUGGCGAAGGCGGCUUGCCAGAAUGCGCUCGACGGUGAGGGAUGAAAGCUGGGGGAGCAAACCGG